GGGGACGUAGCUCAGGGGUAGAGCGCCUGCUUUGCAAGCAGGAUGUCGUGGGUUCGAAUCCCACCGUCUCCA
rnacentral:tRNA from 1 species